GUUGUAUGGUUAAGUGACUAAGCGUACACGGUGGAUGCCUUGGCAGUUGGAGGCGAUGAAGGACGUAUUAACUUGCGAUAAGCCUAGUCAAGCUAGUAAAAAGCGCUUGAGACUAGGAUUUCCGAAUGGGGAAACCCACCUGCUUGCAGGUAUCGUUAACUGAAUACAUAGGUUAACGAGGCGAACGCGGAGAACUGAAACAUCUAAGUACCCGUAGGAAAAGAAAUCAACCGAGAUUCCGAUAGUAGCGGCGAGCGAAAUCGGAACAGCCCUUAAGCUUAUUAUGUGUUAAUGGAAGGCUCUGGAAAGUGCCACGAUACAGGGUGAUAGUCCCGUACAUGAAAAGACAUUUUAAGUGAAAUCGAGUAGGUCGGAGCACGUGAAACUUUGACUGAAUAUAGGUGGACCAUCAUCUAAGGCUAAAUACUCCCAACUGACCGAUAGUGAACCAGUACCGUGAGGGAAAGGCGAAAAGAACCCCUGUGAGGGGAGUGAAAUAGAACCUGAAACCGUGUACGUACAAGCAGUAGGAGCCUACUUGUUAGGUGACUGCGUACCUUUUGUAUAAUGGGUCAGCGACUUAUAUUUUGUAGCGAGGUUAACCGAUUAGGGUAGCCGUAGGGAAACCGAGUCUUAACU
rnacentral:rRNA from 1 species